CAGGAAGUAAGGAGAACCAUCAGGAAGGCCGGGACCACCUAGAGAAGGAAAAGGAAACAGAUGAGACCAGUGAGGGGGUUUAAGAUGGUAUCAGUCCUAGAAAGGAUCUGUAGAUCUUCUUGAGUGUCACAAGCCAGUCGUGUUGACUGGCAAAACUAUUUUAAUCCUAGACUAAGUAUUUUUUUUUAAUGAUGCAUAUUCCAAAAAGUAAAUACUUGUGACGCCAGUGGAUACCUGCAGAACAAUCAGGAGGAGGUAUCUCUCUAAAAUUGUGGCACCAGAACUUAAAGAAUCUUACAGCAGGGAGAACAUGAAGAAAAAUAAUGAAAGCUGAGAACUGAUACUCGUUUGUGAGCUGCAGUGAAGUUUUACUGCUUGUAAACGUUGUACACACACACACGCCUUUGUGAAGGACUACGUGAGCGCUGGAGUCUGUGAGGAUUACUCAGAUUAAUAAUGGUCUCUCUGCAUUUGAGGAAAACUCGUUUGAUGGCUGCAGAUGGUUCAAUAACUGGAGAUAAAAUAAUGUUGCAAGAAGAUGUGUAAACAUGCUGAUAGAGAAAGUUUUUAGAGGGGACCUUCUAUAUAUUUCCUACCCCCAGCACCAAUGCCUAGAAGAAAAGACUACUUGUAAGCAAGAGCUUUUGCAAAAAGAGCUGCUAGGAUUAUAGGACCCUGGAUUAAAACCAAGAGUUCCUGCCUGCUUUUUG